rnacentral:rRNA from 1 species
AGAGUUUGAUCAUGGCUCAGAAUGAACGCUAGCGGCGUGCUUAACACAUGCAAGUCGCACGAGAACUCUUUAGCUUGCUAAAGAUAGUAAAGUGGCGCACGGGUGAGUAACGCGUGGGUAAUUUACCUCUGAAUUUGGGAUAACUCCGCGAAAGCGGGGCUAAUACCGGAUAAUAUUUCAGGAUCUUCGGGUCUUGAAAUCAAAAGUGGCCUCUACAUGUAAGCUACUGUUUGGAGAUGAGCCCGCGUACCAUUAGCUUGUUGGUAGGGUAAUGGCCUACCAAGGCUACGAUGGUUAGCUGGUCUGAGAGGAUGAUCAGCCACACUGGAACUGAAACACGGUCCAGACUCCUACGGGAGGCAGC